rnacentral:rRNA from 1 species
CCUACGGGAGGCUGCAGUGGGGGAUAUUGGACAAUGGGGGGAACCCUGAUCCAGCGACGCCGCGUGAGUGAAGAAGUAUUUCGGUAUGUAAAGCUCUGUCAGCAGGGAAGAAAGCAAUGACGGUACCUGACCAAGAAGCCCCGGCUAACUACGUGCCAGCAGCCGCGGGAAUACGUAGGGGGCAAGCGUUAUCCGGAAUUACUGGGUGUAACGGGAGCGUAGACGGUUGUGCAAGUCUGGAGUGAAAGGCGGGGGCCCAACCCCCGGACUGCUCUGGAAACUGUAGGGCUGGAGUGCAGGAGAGGUAAGCGGAAUUCCUAGUGUAGCGGUGAAAUGCGUAGAUAUUAGGAGGAACACCAGUGGCGAAGGCGGCUUACUGGACUGUAACUGACGUGGAGGCUCGAAAGCGUGGGGAGCAAACAGGAUUAGAUACCCCUGUAGUC